CCACACAACACGCUACUUACAACAAGGCGGACUCUCCACAAGUUCGAAAUUUAGAUCGUGUGGCACCAUCCUAACGCUAGCAUCGUGUUUUUCCAGGAACUUCUGCUACAGUUCACACGGAUAUGCCCUCUGACCCCACAUUGCUGCAGAAGACGAGAGAAUGAAUCAGCGUUUGCCGUAAACGAAACACCACCACUCUGGCAAUCUUUUGAAAGAAGUCCCUGUUUUCAGAGAAGCAGACUCACACAGCUUGUCAAACCUUUUUAGGGGCUGAGGGCGACACCAAAGUCCUUUUGUCAUUGGUCUUAGGGAGACCUUCCUGUAUCUGACUGCGGGCUGGGGUCAGGCCUCUCCUCAGGCUGACCCCCCGACCUCCUGGGCCCCUCCUCUGGCCCACAGCUCUGCCUCCCCUGAGUCACGUGUGCUGCUCUUCGAAGCAGCUAGGUAGCGGGAGGCAGCCUCAGCGUCCCCAGGAGGGCUAGGCACUGACGUGUGCCCCAGAAGCAAGACCCUUCGUUGACACUAAUGAAGUCAGCCAGCUCUGUAGUAUAAAAGGCAGACCUCCAUUUUAGCUGGCUUUCUGGGAAAUUUGUCUUUGCCCUUGGUUUGGCUUUUAGACACUACCUUUUCCUCAGAAGGACACAAGGCCCAAGGAAAUAAUGCCACCACACACCUUGCACACGUGUAUGUAUUCCUCCUGUCUGAACUGGGCAGGGGAAGUAGGGGGCACAUGCUGUGGAGGUGGAGGGGAGUGGAGGGCAAGCAGGGGCAUAGCUAGAAGUUUCUGUACCGUGAGUUUCUCCCCCGCCUUCUCUUGCUGAAGCAUACAGAGCCCAAUUAUAGGAAAACCCCUCCUCGCACCGCAUCGCCAAAGCCAAGUAAAUAACGAUCCCCAGGCCUACCAUAAGCAUUUAUUGAGUGUCUAUUGUAUGUAGAUGUCAGCCAUUUCACCUUUGCAUCUCAAGACAUAGUCCAGUUCCCAGGGCUGAGUAGGCUCUGAACAGAGAUGCAGAGCAGGUGGGGGAUGUCGGGGCGUCAGGGCUAGAGGCGCUGGGAAGAGCUUCCAGACAGAGAUGCGUUCCUAUCCCACGAAGUUUAAGGCGUUAGAUCACAACUAGGUAAGCUGGGAGCACAGAGCAUCUCAAAGAGAAAGCAAUAGGGAGGAGACCAUGAGGCGGCCCUUCAGCACCUGCACUUGCACUUGAUUGACAAGUCACCUGAAGGCAGGAUAAUUAAAGUGAUCACAGAAUCUCACAAGAUGCUUAUUCUUUCCUCGAAUAAUCCAGAAGAAGGAGUUAAAAACCAGCACUUAACAAGCCAGCACCCUCAGACUACUCAGGACUCCCAGACCCUGCAGGCAGGCGCCAAGGCGAAGGAGGUGGAGCUGGGAAUAAGAAAGCUGAAAAAUCAUUCUGGAGGAUUCAGUGCGUAUUGGCCCAUUCCAACUCCACUGGCCAAAAAGCAGUAAAGAACCUCAAGAUGUCUGUAGUUGUUCAAA